rnacentral:rRNA from 1 species
CAGUCGCACGGUAAUACGAAGGGUGCAAGCGUUAAUCGGAAUUACUGGGCGUAAAGCGCGCGUAGGUGGUUCAUUAAGUUGGAUGUGAAAGCCCUGGGCUCAACCUGGGAACUGCAUCCAAAACUGGUGAGCUAGAGUACGGUAGAGGGUAGUGGAAUUUCCUGUGUAGCGGUGAAAUGCGUAGAUAUAGGAAGGAACACCAGUGGCGAAGGCGACUACCUGGACUGAUACUGACACUGAGGUGCGAAAGCGUGGGGAGCAAACAGGAUUAGAUACCCCCGUAGUCCCUGUCUCUUAUACC